AUGGCGGAGGGCAGGUGGAAGCCAGUUAUAUGGAUGCGUCGCAAGAGGCUCCGAGACGACGCGCCUACCGAGGCUGAGGCGGAGGCGGUGGUGGGCGAGAGCUUCGAGUUCGCCUUCGACAACGAGGCCUUCUCCGACCGGGUGCUACGGGUAGAGGUCGUCGGCAGCGAGGAGGAAAAUGGUAUUUUUCAGGCGCUGAUGGAAAAGCUUUUCUCAAAUGGCAUGAAAGAGUCUGAUCAGAGACAUGCAACACUUACAAUUGCUGAUUCAGAGGAAAAGGCCUUCAUGGCGCUUUUACACUUAAUGUAUACCGGAAAGUUGACACCAACAACUGAGUCCACUCUUCUGGUUGAUAUGUUAAUGGCCGCGGACAAAUUUGAGGUUGUUUCUUGCAUGAAGCUUUGUAGUCAAAGGCUCAUAGACCUGCCUAUGACCCUAGAAUCGGCAGUGAGGUGCCUAGAUCUCCCAUGUACCAUUCCAUUGGCAGCUGCCAUCAGAGAGGCAGCCAAGACCUUCUUUGCUGAAACUUACAAGGAAUUCCUGUCAACAAAGUUCCAAGAUGAACUGAUGAGGGUCCCUCUCGCUGGAAUUCAGGCCAUCUUAUCAAGGAAUCGCCUUGGGAUUGUAUCUGAAGGAGACGUCUAUGAGUUCAUGCUUAGGUGGGCCUGUUCACAGUACUCUAAUUCAGAAGAAAGACACAAGAUUUUGAGUUCACGGUUGCUUCCACUAGUACCACGAGUCCUCAGUAUGAACGAUUCCAUUCUAAUUGAUCACCCGUCUGGUAUAGUUAACUUUACUAUCAAGCGUGAGAAGUGUUACGGGCUCUUCCCGUUAGGAUCGAUGCGUUCGCCGCCGUUCCAUUGUGCGGGCCGCCGCUUCUACCUCUCGGCACGCUGUAUGGCGACGGAGCAGCUCCAGAUUUUCGGCCUUUCAGUAAAUAUGCUGGAAGACAAGGGGGCAGUAAGGGGGACAGUGGAUUAUAAGAUUGGAGUAAAGACAAGGCCGUCGCUGCAGUUUGUCACCAAGCACAUCAGCAGCACCACCACCGAUAGUAAGCAACUUGUUGGAUGUAGGGUUCCUUGGUCGGAGUUGAUCGCUGAUGACAACCCUUACUUCAUUGAUGACAAACUCCAUCUGCAAGUUCACGUGAAGAUAACACCACAGACGGAGUGA
rnacentral:rRNA from 1 species